GACGAACCGUGCGAACGUUGUUCGGAAUCACUGGGCUUAAAGGGCGCGUAGGCGGUCUGCCAAGUCCGGGGUGAAAGCCCCCAGCUCAACUGGGGAAGUGCCUUGGAUACUGGCGGACUCGAGCGAGGCAGGGGUCGUGGGAACUUCCGGUGGAGCGGUGAAAUGCGUUGAUAUCGGAAGGAACGCCGGUGGCGAAAGCGCACGACUGGUCCUCUUCUGACGCUGAGGCGCGAAAGCCAGGGGAGCAAAACGGGG
rnacentral:rRNA from 1 species